rnacentral:rRNA from 1 species
GACAGAGGUGCCGAGCGUUAGGCGGAAUCACUGGGCUUAAAGCGUGUGUAGGUGGAUGCCUAAGUACCUUGUGAAAUCCCACGGCUUAACCGUGGAACUGCUUGGUAUACUGGGUGUCUUGAGCCAGCUAGGGGCUACCGGAACAAAUGGUGGAGCGGUGAAAUGCGUAGAUAUCAUUUGGAACGCCAAUGGUGAAAACAGGUAGCGGUGGGCUGACUGCUGACACUGAAGCAGCACGAAGACCAGGGGGAGUCGAAACCGGG